UACAGAGGGUGCGAGCGUUAAUCGGAAUUACUGGGCGUAAAGCGCACGUAGGCGGCUUGGUAUGUCGGGUGUGAAAUCCCCGGGCUCAACCUGGGAACUGCAUCCGAAACUGCCUUGCUCGAGUAUGGGAGAGGGAAGUGGAAUUUCCGGUGUAGCGGUGAAAUGCGUAGAUAUCGGAAGGAACAUCAGUGGCGAAGGCGACUUCCUGGACCAAUACUGACGCUCAGGUGCGAAAGCGUGGGGAUCAAACAGG
rnacentral:rRNA from 1 species